rnacentral:rRNA from 1 species
UACGUAGGGUGCGAGCGUUGUCCGGAAUUACUGGGCGUAAAGAGCUCGUAGGUGGUUUGUCGCGUUGUUCGUGAAAUCUCACGGCUUAACUGUGAGCGUGCGGGCGAUACGGGCAGACUAGAGUACUGCAGGGGAGACUGGAAUUCCUGGUGUAGCGGUGGAAUGCGCAGAUAUCAGGAGGAACACCGGUGGCGAAGGCGGGUCUCUGGGCAGUAACUGACGCUGAGGAGCGAAAGCGUGGGGAGCGAACAGGAUUAGAUACCCUGGUAGUCCACGCCGUAAACGGUGGGUACUAGGUGUGGGUUUCCUUCCCUUGGGAUCCGUGCCGUAGCUAACGCAUUAAGUACCCCGCCUGGGGAGUACGGCCGCAAGGCUAAAACUCAAAGGAAUAGACGG